rnacentral:lncRNA from 1 species
CUCCCAGCAUACAAAAUCAUCCUUUCAGAAUAUGUAGUAGUUCUUUUGUGCUUUUUUGCAGCAUCUCUAUUCUACACAAAAUUAACAGUGCAUGAAAGUAAGAUAAUAAAUUUGUGAAGUGUGUAGUCCCUUUGGUCCCACAGUACAACCAAAGAAAACUUUGCUACUGCACUUAGAGGGAUGUUUCUAUCAUGUUCUAGGGAACCUUGAAGUUAAAAGGCACACUGUAGUGACAUCCUUCAUGAGCCUCCAUCAGAUGCUUUGGUUACUGGGAGUUCAAUAGUGCAGGAGGUUGUUAAAGAUGCCAAUCAGAGCUCUAGGUGUUCUGCGCCAGAGAGGAAUGAAUUUGGGCCCCUUGGCAUUUUGUCCUCAUUUGCUGCUCUGCCAGGCCUGGCACUCCUCUUUCAGCUUUCCCUCUCUUGGAGGGGACUCUUCCCUGGGUACUGCUGCCAGUACAUCCAGCUGGGAGACAGCAGCAGGAGCAGUACCAGAACAGCAAGGGGGAGAACCAGGCUGCCGCAGUGUCCCAGAGCCAAGUCAAACAACCUCACCUCCUCCUGCCAUUCUUGCUGCUGACAGAUCUUCCCAGUUCACUUUGUGGUGCAUUUCCAGGCAGUGCUCUGCUUCAGCUUUGUGGGACAGUCUCACUCCCAGUCCCUGUUACAGGAGUCAGCUCCUCUGCCCCAAGCCUGGCUUGUGUGGCCCUACUCUCCCCUUUCUCUUGGUGGCUGUGUCUGCCUGCAGUGAGACUUCACCCCUGCAGAGAAAGGAGCAGCCAGAGGAUGUUCGUGCCAUCACAGCCACAUGCCUCCCUUAUCACUCAGCUGAAGAGAAGAGGGUCCCUGGGUAGGAUAGAGCAGCAAAGCUGAUCUGAGAGACCCUUCAAUGACAUCUGCUUCUCUUUCCCUGCAACAUCUGAGUCGCCAAUCCUUUCUCCCAUCACAGUGACUGGAGCAAGCUUCACCAGCCACAGGUCAAAGUCUCUGCAGCAUAACCUGGGGAUUUGCACCCUGGCUUCCAGCGACCCAGCUGGGUAAAUCUGGAAUGUGCACUUCUAUUUGCAUCCUGUAAUGAAACGGUUUCACAACCUCACCAAAAUGUGUGUGCUUCAGAGGGAAAACUCCCCAACACCCCAAGUCUCCCGGCUUCCUUCACCACCAUCUGCUCUUUUUUAUUUUUCAAGAAAUGAGAAUUUUUGCAUAAAUGAGAAUGUAGCCUUUGAAGCUGAACGUAAAAGAGUAAUUUCCUAUAGGAUCCUGUAAGAACUUUGCAUAGGAGGAACAAAAAGGCUCUGCAUAAGAUGUGUAAAUAGUUAUAUCACUCUGAUUUAUGUUGAAAACAUGUUUUACUUACAGCUACAGAAGCUAUAAAAGACAGUCCGAAAUACUCUCCAGGCUUCCUAUCUUUCAUGAGAAAAAGUGUUUCACAACAAAAAUAGAAUAUAUAUACUUACUUGUAUUUAAUUGUGCAUUUUCUAGAGAAGGGAGGAAGGUGACAUAAGACAUUGUGCAAAAUAAUCAAAUUUAUGCAGAUCUGGUUGUUGCCCAGAAUUUUGUUCUGUGCCACAUGAGGGGUUAUUUUCUUCAAGGCAGUAUUUUUCUUUUUAAAUUUAAAAAUAUUGUACUGUAAGAAACAUCUAUAGAAAGGCAUAUCUGCAUAGGGCAUUUAACCUCCACUGAAGCUCAUAGAAAUGUCUGAGGACUGACAGUAGACUGUUGAUCAGGACCUGUUCUUCCUCCAGGUCUUUUUCUCCAGGCUUUUACCAAGUCCUCACUGUCAGGCCUAAAUUUGACUCAGCUGGACUAUCGACAAGUUUUCUACAAAAGGAAACUAACCCUUCAGUAAUGUUAUUAUACACCCAUCACAUGAUCAGGAUAGAUGGAGAGGGCUGAAGGAGCUGAGGUAACAAGGGAAAAGUGCAGAAAUGGAUGAUGGAUAAAGAGAACAUGUGGCAGGCAGCAAGGUAAAAUGCAAGAAGGAAACAAGUCCAGGAGAGCCGUGCUCCUUGGGCACCUAAGCGCAUGCUGGGAACGCUUUGUAGUGAUUUUCUUGCAGAGCAAGUGGCUCUGUCAUGUGAGGAAUGGUGCUGGGAAGAGUCAGAAGUGGUUGAAAGUCUCUGUGAGUACUGUGCCAGGUCCAGAGGUGGGUACAGCAGCCAGUGCAGUUAAGGGAAAGGCGGCUGUGCUGCUGUAUAGCUGCCCCAGCAACGCGAGAUCCAGAGCCUGCAUUCUACAGGGCGUGAUGAAUGUGGGGUGGGAAGGAAAAUAGUCCCUGCAAAACCACCCUGGGAUGUGCUGUAAAGAGAGGCUUUACAGAUGCUUGUAUGUGUGAAGAUACAGAUAGAUAAAGAUAAAGGAGUGGGGCAAUGCUGAGCUUUGCACUGAGGGCAGUGGAACACUGUUCACCUCGUGCCUUCCCAUACCCAGCCGGCAGCACCUCCAGUACAGGGAGUGCUGCAGAAGGGCAAGGCCACCUUGUUAUGGACACUCCUCUGUCUUAAUUUCUCCUCCUCUGAAAAAGAGACCAGAAAGGAAAUAAAAUGAUGAAUGGGAGGGAAGCUGCUUAGAAG